rnacentral:RNase_P_RNA from 1 species
GCAGUAGGAAGUUAUUUGUCGCGGUUGCAAACGGAGAGUUAAUGACUCAUCCAAUCACCUCGGGGAAGUUCUGAGAUAAGAGCCAAUCGCUAUCCUCACAGGACAUCAUAUGAACAAAUGAGCGAGCGCACAGGAAAAAUGGGUCAGAAAGCAGAAUUCUCGCGCGAGACGCUGGAACGCAACAUAACGAGCCAACUGACGCGACCGCCGUUGACUUGGAAACACUCGCGGCUGGCGCAAUGAGUUCAAUGUGUUAAUUGGCACAAGAUGCUAGAACCCAAUUCAGACUACUCUCCUACCAC